GACGAACGCUGGCGGCGUGCUUAACACAUGCAAGUCGAACGGAAAGGCCCUGCUUUUGUGGGGUGCUCGAGUGGCGAACGGGUGAGUAACACGUGAGUAACCUGCCCUUGACUUUGGGAUAACUUCAGGAAACUGGGGCUAAUACCGGAUAGGAGCUCCUGCUGUAUGGUGGGGGUUGGGAGGUUUCGGCGGUUGGGGAUGGACUCGCGGCUGAUCAGCUUGUUGGUGGGGUAGUGGCUUACCAAGGCUUUGACGGGUAGCCGGCCUGGGAGGGUGACCGGCCACAUUGGGACGAAGAUACGGCCCAGACUCCUACGGGAGGCAGCAGUGGGGAAUAUGGCACAAUGGGCGGAAGCCUGAUGCAGCAACGCCGCGUGCGGGAUGACGGCCUUCGGGUUGUAAACCGCUUUCGCCUGUGACGAAGCGGGAGUGACGGUAAUGGGUAAAGAAGCACCGGCUAACUACGUG
rnacentral:rRNA from 1 species